rnacentral:rRNA from 1 species
CCUACGGGAGGCAGCAGUGGGGAAUUUUGGACAAUGGGCGAAAGCCUGAUCCAGCAAUGCCGCGUGAGUGAAGAAGGCCUUCGGGUUGUAAAGCUCUUUUGUCAGGGAAGAAACGGUGGGAGCUAAUAUCUCCUGCUAAUGACGGUACCUGAAGAAUAAGCACCGGCUAACUACGUGCCAGCAGCCGCGGUAAUACGUAGGGUGCAAGCGUUAAUCGGAAUUACUGGGCGUAAAGCGUGCGCAGGCGGUUUUGUAAGUCUGAUGUGAAAUCCCCGGGCUCAACCUGGGAAUUGCAUUGGAGACUGCAAGGCUAGAAUCUGGCAGAGGGGGGUAGAAUUCCACGUGUAGCAGUGAAAUGCGUAGAUAUGUGGAGGAACACCGAUGGCGAAGGCAGCCCCCUGGGUCAAGAUUGACGCUCAUGCACGAAAGCGUGGGGAGCAAACAGGAUUAGAUACCCUGGUAGUCCACGCCCUAAACGAUGUCUACUAGUUGUCGGGUCUUAAUUGACUUGGUAACGCAGCUAACGCGUGAAGUAGACCGCCUGGGGGAGGUACGGUCGCGAGAAGUUAAACGUUAAAAGUAAGUUAGUACGGCGUGAGACGUAGACCGACGGACGACGACGAGGGAGGAGG